UUACGGCCACAUCACGUUGAAACACUUGUUCUCCUACGAUCAUCGAAGUUAAGCAACAUUGAGCCUGGUCAUUACCUAGAUGUGUGAUCGCUUGGGAAUACCAGGUACUA